GUUUAAUUUGUCACGAAUCAGGUUGUUUGUCAAAGUGAAAAAGAGAAAAAAAAAGAUUCAACAGAAAAAAUUGGGGAUGUCUGUCAGACAACCUCUGGGCCACCCUGCACUGGAGUGAACCAGGCAGGAACGAUCCUCUACAGCCGUCGGAUGAGCUCGCAUCGGAUUCAUCCUGGCCGUUAAUCACGCUCUGGCCCAGAGGUCAUGUCGCAUCAACCAGACUGGAGUGCUUGCCUCCUUAUUGGUAAAGGAUGCAACGGUACGAGCCUAUAGAACAGAUCCUGUUCAAGUAAGGUCGUGCCCUGGGUCACCCGGCUACACCUUAUAAGUAGCUCAAGAUUCGUGUGAAGUGGCGAGGUGGUACUAAUAUUUAGCUCCGCCGCUUGCGCUCUGCUGAUAGUGCAAUGGGCCGGCCCUGUUUAAAGAUGUUGCAAGUUGUACAGGCCCACGUUGGCUUUCACUCCAAGGAUGUCCUAUCGAGUUUGAAUUCUACAAAUGUUGACCGUCUCAGCUCUAAGACAGAAACGCGAUGCUGUCGUUCUAUUCAAGUAGGAGUAAGUAUUCACUACAGUGAUACCAAUAUUUAUUCAUUAUAUUUCAUACCAAUAUUUAGUUCGCGUGUGUGAACGGCGUCCGAGUUUCUCAUAUAGGAUACUAGGAUAAAUUAUUUUACAGUGAUAUAUCAAUGUCCCAUACCAUUGGAAUUGUCACGGUUAAUUUGUUGUACACACUCGAUCCAAAAUAUAAGUUAUCAUUUUCCAAGUGUCCUAUGAAUAUAGGUUAUCCUAGACAUUCGAGUUCUUCAUUUGCACUUCAUUACUUUGUACUGAGUAAAUACUUAUCAUUAUUAUUAUUAUUAUUAUUAUUAUAGAAAUAUGGUAUAUGGUAUAAAUAUUUAUUAUUACUUUGUACUCAAAUAUACGCAUGCAUACUCACCGCUACAAACGCACAUCGUACUUUUAUAAACACAUCCAAGAAACCGUUAACGAAUACAUAGCCCACUACUUAAAAAAAUUAAUCAUAAAUAUAAACUCUCGUAUCAAAUCUUGGAUUUGAACCCAAUGCUAACAUUUCACCACAAAAGGAUUGCCCAUAUUUUCCAACACAAGUACUCCCUGUCCCUCCUUCCGACCUUUCAUCAAAUACUACUACUUCACUGACACUCUUCGACUUUAAUCAUUAAUAUUUACUACUUCCUCUGUUUUAUAUUAUAAGACUUUCUAGUAUUACCCACAUUCAUAUAUAUGUCAAUGAAUCCAUGUGUUUAGAUUCAUUAACGUAUAUAUGAAUGUUGACAAGGUUAGAAAGUCUUAUAACCUAAGACGGAGGUAGUACAUGGUUAUACUACUAUUGAUGAAAACUUAAUGCUUAUGUUUAAAAUACAAUACACUUCAUAAUACGUCAAUUUCUAAAUAUUUAUUUUUUUAUGAAGAACGGAUAUAUAGUCAAAGUAUUAAAUAUGAAUAGUGUGUGGUUCACAAGUAUCCGAGAAAAGGGCGAGAGCAUAUGCGAUGGAUGGCAAACGUAAGUGAUAUAUUUCUUAAUUUUUCCGCAAUAGGUCAUAUGCGAUUUAUUUUAUAUAUAAAAAAGGAAAUACCAAAAUCGCAGAAAAUAUUCACAAUUUUUCAGUUCUUGUUACGAGCUACGCGUAUGCAGUAGAAGUCAGCGCUCAACAAAACUAUUAAUACUCCACUGGAGUAUUAAAAAUGAUUAUCGAAAACGACCUAACAAUAUCAUAUUUUAUUUAGGUCUAUUAUAGCCUUUUGACGACGUGUAAAAAAGUAAGCCUUUCGCAGUAUUAAUUAUUAGUACAAACUUUAAAAAUAAUUUAUUUAAUAUUUUAAAAGAAACUAUUACAUAAAAUAUUUAAAAUGCAUCAUUUAAUAAUUUAAAAAUAGUUGCCGUUUGUACAUAUCCCUAUUCCAGUAUUCCCUUGCUCUGGCUUGCCGUUCGUUUCUGCUUUGAUUAAGAUUAAAUGCUGACGUGUAGAACAAGAAAUCUAUUAUCUAUUAGUAUAUAAUUAAUUAAGUUUUAGAUACCAGUACAAAUUUAAGAAAUAGGGAAAUUUGAUAUUCUAAAGCAAUUUUUAUAUAGAAUUUUUUUAAGAUAAAAUGUUUAGUAAUUUAAAAAGCGGGCUAAUGGAAACUGACGAAAAAAUUUAGUUUCAGCAUUCUUUUUUUUUUGACACCUUAGUUUCGGCAUUCCGCCACACAUUCUCGAAGGAAAAAUAAAAUCCCCAACGAAAAGCACCUUAAAUAAUAUUACCUCCGUUUUUUAAUAGAUGACGCCGUUGACUUUUUCUCACAUAUUUGACCAUUCGUCUUAUUUAAAAAAUUUACGUAAUUAUAAUUUAUUUUAUUAUGAGUUGUUUUAUCACUCAUAGUACUUUAAGUGUUAUUUAUAUCUUAUACAUUUGCAUAAAAUUUUUUAAAUAAGACGAAUGGUCAAACAGUGAGAAAAAGUCAACGGCGUCAUCUAUUAAAAAAUGGAGGGAGUAAAUCACAUAGGCCCCACAUGCCAUCCACCACACACACCCGUCCCCUUCCGGAUAACUUCGCCGUUAAGUCAAACUCCACUCUUCUUAUCUCAUCUCCCCCUACACCGUCUCGUCUCGUCACCUCCCUUCCUCACCACACGCAAGAUCUUUCCCCCCACUACACAAUUAUCACAAAACACCCUGAACAAACAUAUCACCACCAAAACACCCCUCCUCCGUCAAAAAAAAAACCACUCAACUCAGUUUAAAUUUUAUAAAAAAAAAUCUAUCAUCUUACCUAUCCUCAACAUGUAAAACGAGAAAUUUUAUUUCAUUAAUAUAUUUUACCUAUCUACCACUCUUAUUAUACUUUUUUAAUAAUUAAAGGUAUUUUAUUCAUUCUUACUUUUCACUAAUUUUACCUUAAGAUGCCAGGAAUUGACUUUUUUUUAUGAAGGAAGUAUGUCUCGAGAUCAACAAAUUUAUAUUUCACAUAAUUUUAUGGACUAAUCUGCAAAAUUUCUUCCACACCUAUAGGAGGAGGCAAAUCCAAACGAAGGAGAGAGAGAGAGCUCAUCGCCAUCGCCAUGGGAGGAGGCGUCAUGCGCACCGCGGCCGCGAAGGUCGGAAUCGCCGGGGGCGCGGCCGCCGCGGCGGCGGCGGCGGGCGGGGGCAGGUUCCGCCACGUGGCGCCGGCGUUCGCCACGGCCGCCUCCGCGGAGGCCGCCGCGCCGACGCUGGUGUCCGCGGCGGGCGGCGGCGGCGGUGGCGAGGUCCCCGCGGUGGCGGCGUCGGGGGCGCAGUGGGCGUCGUCGUGGGAGGUGGACGACUGGGAGUUCGCGGACUGGAGGGACGUGGCGGCGGCGGAGCCCGAGGUGACGGCGGCCGGGAAGCCGAGGCUGGUGUUCGCGCCGCCGUCGCGGGAGGAGGCCGAGGAGGCCACCACCGAGCUCAGGGACGCCAUAGACAGGUGAAAGAUUGCAAGAUUUUAGGAGCCUUGAUUGCCAAUUCGUCGAAUUGACCAGGGUUCGGGGAGGCCGUAUAUUUUUCCCCUUUUUACUGUUGAGAGGGGAUAAAUUGGGGAUUUUUUUUCCCCCUUAGAUGCUUUUUGGGAUUGUCUCGAUUAUCAAUUAGCACUUGGUGACCUGUCCCUUAUGAUUUGGAUUUCGAAUGGUUAGGGUUCGGAUUUCGGAGUUCAUACUGUCUUAGAUUUGGGGAUGUUACUGAUUGGAUGGUUUGCAGAAUCUAUUUUAGACUUUUAGGAUUAAGGAAUGGGUCACAUAUUUUGUUAGAGCGUCGAACUGUGGAAUUAAAAUCGUGCUGUGUGGUGAUCAACCAUGGGCCAGUUCAGGGGACUCCUCAUUCAAAACUGAGAAAUACAUUAAAAAUGAUAGAUUAUGCUGCGUUGUUACUAUAUUUUAGAACACGAAAUUGAAAUGAUCUUUUGUGUUCUAAAGUCUAGAUAAAUAUGACAAAAUUAUUGUUUGCCGUUGUUGCUAAGCACUCUACACAUUACUACCCCUAUCAGCUUUUUUUUGUACCAACCCUAUCAGCUUAAAUUGAAAGAUGAAUCCAGUUUUAGGUUUAUAACUAGCCUUCGUUCAUGUGUUAAUUCAGCAACUAAUCAUGGAAUAUACCUACGCCUAUUCAUGCUUUGUUGGCAAGAGAAAAUAUUUUGUGCAUUUCAUUAAAUUUCGAAUGCUGCACUGAGUACUGUAAUCUGCAUAUGCACAGUUUUCUUUAUCUUUAAAUUUAAUUUGAGAUUAGUACAUAUUUAUUUGGUUGUUAUGAAAUGAUUGCUGUAGGGUUUAUUUUUCUGAGGCUCCCAUAGAAGUUGUGAAAGAACAGGAUAAAGAUCUUAGCAAGCUGGGAGCCGAUGCAAUAAUUCCUGCUAUGCCAGGACAUGUGAUGCAAGCUUUUACCUUGUUGAAAUCAAGCCCAGAGGCACAGGUUUGUAUUAUAUUACUUUAUUGUUGUUUUAAUCAAUCUCCGUCAGCUGUUAUUAUGAUCAUAUCUAUUUCUGAGUUAGGGUAUCUCAUAUUAUUUGUGUUCAUAUAUUUUUUAUGAACGAAUAUAUACAUCAGGAAAACUUUAUGCACUAUUGUUGCUGAGGAUGUACUGUGUUUAGAAACUUGGAAGUCAUCAAUCAGUUUUUGGUUUGUGUAUUUACUGUUAUCAUGUGCCCUUUUUAUAUUUAGUAUUUUUGCAUGUUUCAGUGAUUACAUAGUAUACACUCCAUGUUGAGGGUUCGUAGUUCAGACUUCACAUAUGAGCAUGGCACUUCAUCAUUGCAUAAUUUUUGUGUUGGUUGAUUGCUCACCAUGGAUGCAACUUUUAAUUCAGCUUGAUUCAUUCUGAUGGCUCAUGUUUCACUAAUCUUGUUUUUAUUGGUCUCCAGGGUGUUGUUGCAUCUCUUGCCUCUGAUAAAAAUGUCUGGGACGCAGUGUUGAAAAAUGAGAAGGUCAUGGAAUUUUACAAGACGCACCAGCAAAGUAUGUACCACCUCGAUUACUAACCAUUCGCCAUUUUAUAUCUCCUAUUUGUCUUUCAACCAAACUGUAUUACCCUUAUUUCCUUUCUUGAGAUGAUACAAUAAUUACAUCUUCCUAUGACACAGGUCUGGUUUAUACUUUCCCUGAGGGCACUGCCUCGGUAGUUUCACCUGAGAAGCUUGCAGACGCCUCCUCAGAGAAUUCAUCCUCCGGGGAGAAGCCUGAGAGCUCCCCUUUUGCAGACUUCAUGGAUAAUGCAAGGAAGACGGUGAUCGACAUUGUGAACAAUAUAACCAACUUUUUCCAAGAUAUGUUCCGCAAACCCAAUGAAGCCGAGAUUCUUGGUGGAUCAUUCAUGGCUCUGGCCAUAGCAGUCAUCCUGUUAAUUAUGUUUAAGAAGGCGUGAGAUUUUGGUUCGACCUCCCUUGGGAAUGAUUGUGCUUUAAAUUCGUCGAAAAUAACUGGCAUCGUAUUAUUAAGUACUACUACAAUGUAAUACUAUAUAGCUGUGUCUACUGCGUCCUUGAAUAUAUUUGAGGACACAGGACAGUACAAUAAAGACAUCGUUUUAUCUAAUAUCUAAUAUUGUACAGUACCUUAUGUAAAUGGCUGAAUAUCGUCUAUAUUUGCCGAAGCAUAGUCGUUUCGUUGUGUAUUUAGGCUACUGAUAAAAUGGACAUUCCAAAAAUGAGAACUGGUGUGUUAAGAAAAUGUUGGGAGGGAGAACUUGCGAAAGACAUUAUUUUUAAAAAAAAAAAAGAACUUGCUGGGUCUGAAUUUUAAAAAAAAGACCCUCAUAUAGGUGGUUAUGUCAUCAUAAAUGUAAAUGAACCAUGCAUGAACCGAUUAUAAACUCGUCCGCAAAGUUAACCAGGCAACCAAGUUUAAAAGGUAAACUGAACUCGGCCUUCGCCGUCCAAAUUUUCUUGAGCGUUUAAUUUGCCACGAAUCAGGUUGUUUGUCAUAGUGAAAAAAGAGAAAAAAAAAAGAUGAGAAAAGAAAAAAUUGGGGAUGUCUGUCAGACAACCUCUGGGCCACCCUGCACUGGAGUGAACCAGGCAGGAACGAUCCUCUACAGCCGUCGGAUGAGACCGCAUCGGAUUCAUCCUGGCCCGUUAAUCACGCUCUGGCCCAGAGGCCAUAUCGCAUCAACCAGACUUGAGUGCUUACCUCCUUAUCGGUAAAGGAUGCAACGGUACGAGCCUAUAGAACAGAUCCUGUUCAAGUAAGGUCGUGCCACAAAGCCCCGCGCUCCAACUUAUAAGCAGCUCCAGCUUCUUCCAAACUGGCGAGGUGGUACUAAACUAUGUCCUUUCAACUAAAGGACUCGAAGCAGCCCAGGUUGACAAAAAGGUAAAGGCCCAGCCCAUUUAAAAGAUGAUCUCUAGUCGCGAUGAGUCCCGUCCCGUGUACAUUGUUUAUAUAUCUACCCUUUCGGAUACGACUUGUCCAUUUGUUCUAUGUUUCAUAUGUAGACGUAUCUGUCUGGUAUUACCGAACGAGGAUGUUCUGGUGGAAAUGUGCAAUAUAAAAUAAAACGUGUCAAAGCUUAU
rnacentral:lncRNA from 1 species